CCCUUAGAUGUUCUGGGCCGCACGCGCGCUACACUGAUACAUUCAACGAGUUUCUUCCUGGUCCGAGAGGAAUGGGUAACCUUUUGAAAGCGCAUCGUGAUAGGGAUAGACUAUUGCAAUUAUUGGUCUUCAACGAGGAAUUCCUAGUAGACGUAGUUCAUCAGACUGCAUCGAUUACGUCCCUGCCCUUUGUACACACCGCCCGUCGCUCCUACCGAUUGAAUGCUCAGGUGAGCCAUUCGGACUUUCAUCAUGCUGGUUUCCAGUUUUGAUGAAGGAAAGUCUUGCGAACCUUAUCAUUUAGAGGAAGGAGAAGUCGUAACA
rnacentral:rRNA from 1 species